GCUGGGUGCGGUGGCGGGCGCCUGUGAUCCUAGCUACUCGGGAGGCUGAGACAGGAGAGUUGCUUGAACCUGGGAGGUGGAGGUUGCAGUGAGCCGAGAUCAUGCCACUGCACUCCAGUCUGGGCGACAGAGCAAGCCUCUGUNNNNNNNNNNCUUUUUUUUUUUUUUUUUUUUGUAGACAGAGGCUUGCUCUGUCGCCCAGACUGGAGUGCAGUGGCAUGAUCUCGGCUCACUGCAACCUCCACCUCCCAGGUUCAAGCAACUCUCCUGUCUCAG
rfam:Chlorocebus sabaeus isolate 1994-021 chromosome 20, whole genome shotgun sequence.